rnacentral:rRNA from 1 species
GACAGAGGUCCCGAGCGUUAGGCGGAAUCACUGGGCUUAAAGCGUGUGUAGGCGGAUGCCUAAGUACCUUGUGAAAUCCCAUGGCUCAACCAUGGAACUGCUUGGUAUACUGGGUGUCUUGAGCCAAUUAGGGGCUACCGGAACAAGUGGUGGAGCGGUGAAAUGCGUAGAUAUCAUUUGGAACACCAAUGGUGAAAACAGCUCGCUGGGAGUGUGCUGACGCUGAGACACGAAAGCCAGGGGAGCGAACGGG